rnacentral:lncRNA from 1 species
CUACUUGUGAAUAUAAGUUCAUAACGAUUAGGUGAAAUUCACUUAUAUUCUAGCAUCAAAUUCAUGCAUGUAAUUUAAGUAUGCAUCCUUAAUCGACAUACAAAAAUAAGUUAUUAAUCAAGCAGUUAAGCAAAUUAAAUCACAACUCAGAAAUCACAACUGAAGGUAAUCAAUUCAUAUUACAAAUAUAUUCAUGGUUUCGAAUUAACCUCUAGCCAAAAUAAAUUAGUUACACAUUAUUAACAAAUUAAACUAAACGUAAAUCAUGAGUUUGAGAAGAUAACACCAAUAAGAACGGAGUGAAGCCCUCUGCUUCUGUGCUCCUCUUCUUCCCUGUGCUUAUUUCUGCGCCUAGCAAGUCCCUGACUUGCCCUCUUUCCAAUUCCCCGUGUCUUAUGCUGCUCUCACGCUGCCAAAGGCAGCGUCCUGUCCCUUCUCCUGCUCUCUGCUGCAAAGGCAGCUCCUCCAAUUCCUCCAGCUGGACUCUCCCCUUUAUUUCUCUGCGUGAGCUGCCUUUCUUCUCACCCCGCGUCACCCCUAUUAUACUUUUAUUCCUCUUUCCGGUUUUAUCUCUCCGUGCCUCACUCCUUUUCCACCUUUCACGCCUGCUUUCUUCUUUUCUCCUUCUUGGAUUCUUUUGUUGUCUAGUUGGAAAGCCACGCUUGGUAAACAGAUAUUGGAAAAAUCAAUGCCGUGGUGCAUAUAUACAUUCUGCAUAGGUUUAAGGACAGAGAUUUAGUUCAAUUAUAAUCGCAAUGAAUAAACUAAAUUAAUUGACCUACAAAAAAAAAUCAUAAUGUUCGAAGUAACUAUUCUGUUUAUUAUUUAAACUCAUUUGUGCUAUUUUUAUUUUCUUUGCAUAACAUAUCCUAUAAACACAAAAAUAACGUAAAUAGCUCAAAAAUAUAAGGAACUAACUAAGAAAAGACGAGUGAAUUCGAAGUAAAAAUAUAUAUAAAUAUGAUCCGAUCAAAUGCGCAACAAGGGAUCUCUAACCUUCAAACCGUUGGGGGAGAAUACUCUAUGAUAUGAUUUAGAAU